GUCGGGAGGGCGGCUAAUACAACACCCCUUCGGGGAAAUACGCCCGCCGGCUACGUGCGGUUUCUAACCUCCCGACAUCCCGUC
rnacentral:ncRNA from 1 species